rnacentral:rRNA from 1 species
UACGGAAUGUGCAAACGUUAUUCGGAAUCACUGGGCUUAAAGAGUCCGUAGGCGGCAUGUUAGGUGAGGUGUGAAAUCCCCCGGCUCAACCGAGGAAUUGCGCUUCAAACCGGCGUGCUUGAGGAAGAUAGAGGUGGGCGGAACUGAUGGUGGAGCGGUGAAAUGCGUUGAUAUCAUCAGGAACACCGGAGGCGAAGGCGACCCACUGGGUCUUUUCUGACGCUGAGGGACGAAAGCUAGGGGAGCGAACGGG